CGGUCCCCUUCCCAAUUAGAGAUGGCGGGGGUGGGGGUGGGGGCUGGGGGGUGAGGAAGGGAGCAGUGGUGCAGUUUUUGCCUGAAAAGGCUGAAGGGCAACAUCGCGCAGAGGGAAGGGGAUGGAACUGCACGUGACAGAGAGAGCACUUGCGGCUACUAAACGCCCUGGCCAAGGGAUGAAUUCCAUCAGCUGCAGCUCCGUGGCCACGAAGAGGGAGACACCAGGCUACCUGCUUUUCAGAGUAAACACUAUAUUCAUCAUAAAGCUUGGCUUGGGUUUCUCUAGCACUCUUUCCCCCAAGUCCCCAGCGUGCCCUCCUAGUGUUCCACUUGCCUUUCCGAUAUCCCUGCCUGGCACCGCGAGGACCCGGUUCUCCCAUCCAUUCCGCGGACGGGAAAACAGCCUGGUGACAAGCGCUCUGCUCAAGGGCCUCUCCGCAAAGCAUCGGGGGCCGGGAAUGGCCGAGGCUCUUUUGCUCGGGCCUGUCAAGAAGCCUGAAGGGGUCAAAGGGGCUGGGUGAACAGAUCUCCCCAUGAGACCUACCUUCUGGCCUCGCAAUAGGGGGGCGAGGGCUUGACACAGGGCGUCAGCCCGGAGAAGAGGCUAGCAAGGGGCUCUGAGGUACCUCCCGGAGGACCAGGACUCCAUCAGCGGCGACAGGACUGACCCUCCCAGCCCGGACAGCCCAGCUCUGUCACGUAAGGGCUGUGUCUCCUGCCUCAGCUCACUCCCAAUUUAGGCUUCCAUCCAAGGACACUGACUGGCAGACUGACAGAGCUUCCGGAACCCUCUGUUCUUUCCCCACGAGCAGCCCCGUGGGCGCGGGCGAGGGCGCGGGCGCGGGGGACCUACAGGGCUCUGUCCUGGUGCUCAGACCAGCGGAGGUGGGAACAGAGGAGAGAGGCCCGCUCUCAGGAGGGCAGCCCAUCUGUCCUGCCUGCCAGGCCCCACAGGGCAGGAAGAGAGAAGGUUAGACACAGAGGAGGAAGCAGGUGGGUUAUUACCUGUGCAACCCCUGUUACGAAUAGCGGGACCCCCUCCGACGUCUCAAUAUUCUCACAGCGACACAGGAUGGUCAUAACCUCCA